UCCCUGGUAGCUCAGUUGGUAUAGAAUCUGCCUGCAGUGCAGGAGACCCCAGUUCAAUUUCUGGGUUGGGAAG
rfam:TPA: Bos taurus chromosome 19, whole genome shotgun sequence.